AAAGAUCGAUACCGAGGGGGGCUGACGCCCCGGAGAAUCCACUGCUCACGCAGGCAGCCUGUACCGCGUACAGUCUGAAACUCCCUAUACCUCAACAAACUGCCACUCCGGCGUGAAGGUAUCGUUCU
rnacentral:ncRNA from 1 species